rnacentral:sRNA from 1 species
AUGCACCGCGCGUACACUCCGGUUCCUCCGCGCUGUCCGCACCCACCUGACGACUGCUCGCUACGUUUUGUUAGCC